rnacentral:tRNA from 2 species
CCGGGUGUAGGGUAGCGGCCACCCACAUGUCUUGGGCACAUGUCCACGCAGGUUCAACUCCUGCCACCCGGACCA